UACGUAGGUGGCGAGCGUUAUCCGGAAUGAUUGGGCGUAAAGGGUGCGUAGGCGGCCUGCUAAGUCUGGAGUGAAAGGUACCGGCUCAACCGGUACAGGCUCUGGAAACUGGCGGGCUAGAGAGCAGGAGAGGGCGGUGGAACUCCAUGUGUAGCGGUAAAAUGCGUAAAUAUAUGUAAGAACACCGGUGGCGAAGGCGGCUUGCUGGGCCUGUACUGACAUUGAGGCACGAAAGCGUGGGGAGCAAACAGG
rnacentral:rRNA from 1 species